CUACGGGCCGCUCCAGGCGAGAAAACUUUGCAAUGUGCGAAAGCACGACAAGGUUAAUCCGAGUGGUUUGUGCUAAACGAACCUUUUGACAGUCCUAGAAACACUGUUGAAUAAGGGAUGGGCAAGUUCUGGUGUCAGCCGCCGCGGUAAAACCAGCACCUCAAGUGGUCAGGAUGAUUAUUGGGCCUAAAGCAUCCGUAGCCGGCUCUGUAAGUUUUCGGUUAAAUCUGUACGCUCAACGUACAGGCUGCCGGGAAUACUGCAGAGCUAGGGAGUGGGAGAGGUAGACGGUACUCGGUAGGAAGGGGUAAAAUCCUUUGAUCUAUUGAUGACCACCUGUGGCGAAGGCGGUCUACCAGAACACGUCCGACGGUGAGGGAUGAAAGCUGGGGGAGCAAACCGGAUUAGAUACCCGUAUAGUC
rnacentral:rRNA from 1 species